rnacentral:rRNA from 1 species
GAUGAACGCUGGCGGCGUGCCUAAUACAUGCAAGUCGAGCGAACGGACGAGAAGCUUGCUCCUCUGACGUUAGCGGCGGACGGGUGAGUAACACGUGGAUAACCUACCUAUAAGACUGGGAUAACUUCGGGAAACCGGAGCUAAUACCGGAUGAUAUUUUGAACCGCAUGGUUCAAAAGUGAAAGACGGUUUUGCUGUCACUUAUAGAUGGAUCCGCGCCGCAUUAGCUAGUUGGUAAGGUAACGGCUUACCAAGGCAACGAUGCGUAGCCGACCUGAGAGGGUGAUCGGCCACACUGGAACUGAGACACGGUCCAGACUCCUACGGGAGGCAGCAGUAGGGAAUCUUCCGCAAUGGGCGAAAGCCUGACGGAGCAACGCCGCGUGAGUGAUGAAGGUCUUCGGAUCGUAAAACUCUGUUAUUAGGGAAGAACAUAUGUGUAAGUAACUGUGCACGUCUUGACGGUACCUAAUCAGAAAGCCACGGCUAACUACGUG